rnacentral:lncRNA from 1 species
AAAAAUUUCAGUACCUUCAAUAUGAGUUCAUUUUUUAUUACUAUUAGCUUAUAAUAUUUUUCUAUACAGCACAUAGCUACAAUAAACGUUUCUUGCAGCUAUCAAAACUUGAGUCAGACUGAGUUUGUCAAAAGUAUUGAAACGAUGCGCACUGAGGAUUUAUGUGACAAAGAAGAAACCAAACCCCACACAUUGAUAACUGACAGACAUUCUACAUGGAAAGUUUCAGCUGUAGAAGACAGAAGGCCAAGUUGAUGUAUGGGUCAACAAUCAUCUCCAUGUGUUAUCCUGCGGCCCAGCAGCACUGGUCUCUACAGAGAUCUCUCUACAGUGUUUCUCAAAUUCUAUUAUUUGUCUUUAAAACCUGUCACUGUGCAAGAGGUCAUCUUCCAGACAAGUCUAUCAGCAGGAAUAUUGGGGUCCAAUGAGAAUCCGACAGAGAAGCAGUCAUGGCAUGCAAGCGGCAAGCUGAGAAGUUCUUCAGCUAAGUGUACUACAGUAGAUUUGACCUUGCCUCUGGAUUAUCCAGUGCAACCUUGAUGAAUGUCUUCCACUGACAUCGGGCUUUCAAUUCUGGCUUUGACUGCAGCAUUAAAUAUCUAAUGUUAUUACUACUCAACUUAUUACUACAUGUUUAAAAAUAAUGUUUGAAUUAAUUAAUAAAUGCAUAAUUAUUAAG